UAAUCCUUUCAGAAACCCUUAGUUGAAAGUCGAAACACCACGUGCGUGACGCUGUUGCUCCUGGCCUGCGCAAUGAUCUCCGAUCUUCUUGCGUUCUCCGAUGAUCUUCUCCGGUGACAUCUCAUCCGGCGUCGAUCUCCUUCGGCGACAUCUUCUACAGCGGCGAUCUCCUCUAGUGACGUCUCCUCCAGCUUCCUCUCCUUGUCGACCUCUGUGUCUUCUCCACCAAAAUCAUCAACACCUUCCUUUCCUUCCUUCUUUCCUUCCUUUCCUUUCCUUUAAUUUCCUUUCUCUAUGAUAAGUCUCUCUUUUAAGGCCAUUUGCGAGGAUUCAUCGCGAGUGGAGAAGUCGAUUCCGCCAUUUGCGCAGUAAGAUCAACAACAAUUUGUGUUCCACUGCUCUGCCACCGCUGACGUUCCUCCAUUUCUCUGCUUGGUGCCUUUGCUGCUGUCCCUCACUCUUCCAAAGGGUUUCAAAAAAUGGAAUGAAGGAUUCUAUAAAUUAUCAACUCAUUUCUCCAAAAGAUCUAGCAAAGUUUGUUUUAUCUGAAGUCGGCUCGUCAACUUUUAUGGGAAGAGCACACUCUUGAAUCAUUUGUUUUAUACCAAUUUCCAAGAGAUGAACGCUGAUGCUGGAAGGCAAGUAAUUCUUGUUUAAAACAACCGAAGGAAUCUGGAUUGCUCGGUGUGCAGGCAUUAAGCCUUGCACACUUGUGUUGGAUUUGGAGUGAACUGAUGGAAAAGAGCAGGGAGAAAAGGUGCUCUCUCUCUCUCUCUCAAAUUUUAAAAUAUUAAUUUUUUAUAAAUUAUAAAUACAUGGUGUUAUGAUUCUUGACAAAUUGAAUUAAAAAAUUAGAUACUCUUUUGUUGAGAUUUUUUUCCGUUAGUUAAAGCUUUCAUAUUUAUAUUUGAGUUAAAAUUUUGGCUGCAAGAGUUGCCCUAUAUUAGCUUGAGCAUUUUAUUUAAUUUUGAUGUAUUAAAAUAUUAUUAGUCUACUGUUUAUCUGGGAAAUAGAAAUGCUUAAUUUUGAUCGG